GGGUUUGCAACCAUCACUUAUGUCUUGAGCAGUUAAAAGAUAGAACGGUCAAGUCAAGCACCAUGUCUCUUGUUCUUUGAUCAACUAUAGUUCUGGAGUUUUUGCAGAUUUUCAAAUAAAACUCAGACAUUCCUUGUAUGACUCUCUCUAGUCUCUCUUUCGUGGUAUUUCUGGAUCCUUACCUAGGCAGUGAUGAUAUAUGCCUUCUCUCAAAGUAUGUGGUAUUUGUGGUAUGAGGCAUAAUGAUAUUGCCUUCUCUCUCACCCUACUCUAACAAGGUUUGAUAUCUAGAGCUCAUAGGUGGGAGACAACUGAUACAUACUUACAAGACAUUUAUUGCAUAGUCAAACCAUGGAUCUAGAGAAACAAGUCAAUAAGUCAAAUCAAGAUGUGCAUGUGUGGUGAAUGAAUGGUGUAUGGUGAUGAUGGUGAUAAUGGUGAAAACAUUGGUGAAAGUCUAAUUCUACUUUUGCUCUGUUGAGGGGAUACAUACCUUUCUUGCACUUUGAAGCUUUUUGAAGGGAAUGAGAUGCUCUAUAUUUUCUUUUUUUUCUUAUCUCUCAGGUGGGUAUCUUGUACCCCUAAUUCUACUGUCGGACACUUGUCCAUUUUUACCUCUCGUCUCACUUUUUCUUUUCUUCGAGGUUUCGGGCACUUGCCCCUUUUUAUUUCCUCGUAUUCACUCUUUUUUUUCAGAGCACUCACCCUCCUGGAAUAAUGUAGCAAGUGGAAGUAAACAAAAUAUCUCGAGCAUUUAUUUCAUGGGGAAUAACAGGGAUAGGAUAAUGUUUUUGGCUAUUCUCUCCUGGAUAGGAGUAGAAUAAUUUUAGGUGAAUCUAGAGAUGGAAAGGAGUGGAUGUAUGUGGAUGCGUACUUCCGGAGUAGAAGCAGCAUGUAUGAGUGAACGUGCAAGUGAAUCUUGAUUUUAACCGCAUGACAAGCUCCUAAGGGUCUACACAGCUUGACCACACUCAAUGCUCAUAAGCAGUAAAACGUAAAUGUAUGGUUCAUAGUCUAAUAAGCAUGUAUAUAUGGCUGUGGUAGGAUUUUAAACUCUCAUCAUAUAGGAACUCAUCAUGCAACAUUUUAAAGAUUUUCAAAGAUAAACUUCUCCAGAAUUCUAGCAUCUCUAGGAACAGAUAAACAGCAGCUCAACCUUCCCAUAUCAUAUCCGUUAACGACUUAGACUUUAGAUCAAGUACUCUUCCCACAAGUUCAGGUUUAGAGCAAAUCUUAAUUUACAACAGUCAUGCCAAAACUUGAGAGAGAUUUCAAUUUUGAGAACUAAUCAUGGCAGAGCAACUAUUCAUCAUUUCCAUGUGAGAGCUUAUCAUGACGGUUCAUAGCAAACUUUAUUUAUUUAUUUAUUUAGCAAACUAAGAAAAGAUAUAUAUAAGCAUAAAAUCUUUAUUUGGGUUUUUAUGAUUAUGCAUCUUUUUAUCAUUUGAGUAAAUGGGGGUGCUCUCCCCCAAGCUGGAUUUUGAUGUAAUUUCUUCUGAUGUAGCUAGUUGGUGGCGGAGGUGUAUUUGAAUGUCGGCAGCACCCUGACAGUGAUUAGGAUGUCCUCCGUCUGCUAGUCUUCUUUGAUCCUUGAAUUCUGUGGAGCUCAAAUAGACAACAAAUCUUUGUGGAACUGGUUAAGUGUUAGCAUAAAAUCUCUUCACCUUUAUCAUGUUGAGCUUCCUCUAAUAAAUAUUACUCUCUUUAGUAGGAUCAUAAAUUUUUUUUUUAUAUUUUCAUUUUUGUAGGACAGGAAUAUAUUUAUUUUAUUUUUACGCCACAACAGUGAAUGCACUUAUGGAUUUCAUGCUACGAGCAUACUCACAUGGGGCUCACUAUUUUUACGUCUGAGUGCGUUUGUGCUCGUAGAUCCAGGUCCUUCACUUGGUAGAGACUAGGAGUUGGAAAACUCCUCCAUGUUUUGCUCGAAGUGUACCUACUAAUAGAGACAAGGCAGAGAUCAAGUGCAUGGGUCCUGUUGGUAGAAAACACCAACAAAACCAAAAGUGUAUUUGUUCUUCUCUAACCUUAAGCAUAGCGAGCAAGACAAAGUUGAUGAAUGAUAUGUUCAUGAGUGUAGCAUUUAAAACAUUUCUCAGAUCAGAUCGCUCAACCUUAUGGAAAGAUAAUCUAUCUAUGUAUAUGUCUUUUUCUUUAUAUCUCUCAAAGAUUGAAUGUGUAACAUUUUUGCUCAUAUGAUUAGGAGUGUGAGAUCAUGGAGGUAGUACUAGGAAUAAAGAUUAAAGGACUAAACAUGUUGAAUCAGUUGGGUUGGUUAAUUUGAAGUUAUAAAUCAUACAUGUUUGUCUCUUUUAUUCAUAUGAACGGCAGAACCAAGGAGAAGCUUAUAAAAGUGAUAAUCAAGUACCUUAAGAUGUUACCUUACUUGAAGAGUGAUGGUACAGUAUCACCUUGUGGAAGCUUUCCUUUCUUAGCGGUUGUUCAUCGUGUUCGUGGCACCCUCCAUGGAUCAUCUCUUAUGAGCUACGUCUUCCUUGUGUAAAUUGUUAAACUUCAUGUGUCUCUCUCUUUGUCUCAAAUGUGAGUUUAUCUCAGGACUUCCCAGGUUGAUAUUGAAAGUUUUCCUGUAGGGGUUAUUCUGACAAAAUAUACCAAUAUCUACUCAAGCAGUGUUUAGUUCAGUAACCAAACUAGACUCCAUGUCUAAUCAGAUUAAGGAAGGCUAUUUAACCUAAGCACCAUGCUUAAUUUAAAUGCCAAUGGAAGUAUGUCGAGUACUUCCAAACCAACACUUGCUAGUAAAUAGACAAAGGUAGUAUGACAGCAUUUAUAGAGAUACUCAAGUGGAGAUGAAGUAGUGUGAUUAGUAUUUAACAAAUUGAGCAUGUCUCAAAGGUAGGGACAACCAACAUAGCAACAUGGCAAAGGAUGUUUUUAUGUAAAGUACUCCCCCAAGCUUGAAUUUUGCAAAAUUCAAGUUUGGAUGAAUUUAAUUCAAUGUUGUAUGAAGAUUGGUUGGACAUACCUUGUGCUUGUCUUUCAUCCGAUCUCCUUGCUGCAAUCCUGGAAAGGUUUGUGACAAGAAUACCCGAAGGAAUAUUUUUACAAUUAUCCUUAUAUGAUCAAUACACAAGGUAAUGUUGUAAAUAACUAAAAGCUCAUGUUACGAUCUGAUCAGUGCUUAUUUUAAGACACUAAGCUUGUCCUUGGGAAACCAUCAAUUUAUGUCGGCGAAGUGGUUUCCCUUCCAAUCGCUGACCUAUAUCAACUCAACGAGAUCUGCAAUAUUUAUUAU
rnacentral:lncRNA from 1 species